UUUCCGUAGGUGAACCUGCGGAAGGAUCAUUAACGAGUUAGGGUCUUUUAGGCCCGACCUCCCAACCCUAUGUUUAUUGAACCUCUGUUGCUUCGGCGGACCCGUCCCACGGCCGCCGGAGGACCGCUGCGAGGCGUCCUCUGGCCAGCGUCCGCCGAUGGCCAACCCACUAAACUCUGAAUGAAUCGUGUCAUAUGUCUAAGUCUAUGAUUAAAUUAAAGCAAAACUUUCAACAACGGAUCUCUUGGUUCUG
rnacentral:misc_RNA from 1 species